GAUGAACGCUGGCGGCGUGCUUAACACAUGCAAGUCGAACGAUGAAGCCCAGCUUGCUGGGUGGAUUAGUGGCGAACGGGUGAGUAACACGUGAGUAACCUGCCCUUAACUCUGGGAUAAGCCUGGGAAACUGGGUCUAAUACCGGAUAGGAGCGUCCACCGCAUGGUGGGUGUUGGAAAGAUUUAUCGGUUUUGGAUGGACUCGCGGCCUAUCAGCUUGUUGGUGAGGUAAUGGCUCACCAAGGCGACGACGGGUAGCCGGCCUGAGAGGGUGACCGGCCACACUGGGACUGAGACACGGCCCAGACUCCUACGGGAGGCAGCAGUGGGGAAUAUUGCACAAUGGGCGCAAGCCUGAUGCAGCGACGCCGCGUGAGGGAUGACGGCCUUCGGGCUGUAAACCUCUUUCAGUAGGGAAGAAGCGAAAGUGACGGUACCUGCAGAAGAAGCACCGGCUAACUACGUG
rnacentral:rRNA from 1 species